GACAUUGUUGCAAACCGAGGAUGA
rnacentral:siRNA from 1 species